rnacentral:snoRNA from 1 species
AAAGCAUCUUAACAGGUCUUGGUCUUUGCGUGGUAGACCAUGAUUUGGUAGCUGGUGCUGAUAUACAAUUUCUCCCUUUAACAAAACCAAAUGGCCAUUAUUGUGCCUGCUUGGGCAAGUACAGAGAAAACAAAU